GACGUAGGGCGCGAGCGUUGUCCGGAUUUAUUGGGCGUAAAGAGCGCGCAGGCGGCUGGUCAAGUCCGAUGUGAAAGCUCCCGGCUUAACUGGGAAAUUGCAUCGGAAACUGAUCGGCUGGAAGGUGGGAGAGGGUAGCGGAAUUCCCGGUGUAGUGGUGAAAUGCGUAGAUAUCGGGAGGAACACCAGUGGCGAAAGCGGCUACCUGGCCCAUUCUUGACGCUGAGGCGCGAAAGCUAGGGGAGCAAACGGG
rnacentral:rRNA from 1 species